rnacentral:rRNA from 1 species
UCCGUAGGCGGGCGUCUAAGUCAGUGGUGAAAUCUUACAGCUCAACUGUAAAAUUGCCAUUGAUACUGGAUGUCUUGAAUUAGUGUGAAGUGGUUAGAAUGUGUAGUGUAGCGGUGAAAUGCAUAGAUAUUACACAGAAUACCAAUUGCGAAGGCAGAUCACUAACACUAUAUUGACGCUGAGGGACGAAAGCGUGGGGAGCGAACAGGAUUAGAUACCAUGGUAGUCC